GGGGUUGUGGCUCAGUGGUAAAGCACUCGCCUAGCAUGUGUGGGGCGCUGGGUUCAAUCCCCAGCACCACA
rnacentral:tRNA from 1 species